rnacentral:rRNA from 1 species
AUGAUGGGUAGGGGAGCUUCCCAUACGGGUUGAAGCAUGACCGUAAGGACAUGUGGACAGUAUGGGAGUGAGAAUGUUGGCAUGAGUAGCGAGAUGUGGGUGAGAAUCCCACAGGCCGUAAACCCAAGGUUUCCAGGGGAAGGUUCGUCCGCCCUGGGUUAGUCGGGACCUAAGCUGAGGCCGAAAGGCGUAGGUGAUGGACAACAGGUUGAUAUUCCUGUACUACCGAUAACCGUUUGAGAGAAGGGAUGACACAGUAGGAUAAGCUAAGCACACUGUUGGUUAUGUGUGCCCAAGCAUUGAGGCAGUCAAAGCAGGCAAAUCCGCUUUGAUAAUGCUGGGAUGUGAUGGGGAGCGAAAUUUAGUAGCGAAGUAGCUGAUUUCACACUGUCAAGAAAAGUCUCUAUCGAGGUUAAAGGUACCCGUACCGCAAACCGACACAGGUGGGUGAGGAGAGUAUCCUAAGGCCAGCGAGAGAACUGUUGUUAAGGAACUCGGCAAAAUGACCCCGUAACUUAGGGAUAAGGGGUGCCACCAUCCGGUGGCCGCAGAGAAUAGGCCCAAGCGACUGUUUACCAAAAACAUAGGUUUCUGCUAAGUCGCAAGACGAUGUAUAGGAGCUGACGCCUGCCCGGUGCUGGAAGGUUAAGGGGAUCUGUUAGAGCAAUCGAAGCAGUGAACUUAAGCCCCAGUAAACGGCGGCCGUAACUAUAACGGUCCUAAGGUAGCGAAAUUCCUUGUCGGGUAAGUUCCGACCCGCACGAAAGGCGUAACGAUUUGGGCACUGUCUCAACAACAGACUCGGUGAAAUUGUAAUUCCGGUGAAGAUGCCGGAUACCUGCGACAGGACGGAAAGACCCCAUGGAGCUUUACUGUAGCUUGACAUUGGGUCUUGGUACUACAUGUACAGGAUAGGUGGGAGGCUUUGAAACCAGGACGCCAGUUUUGGCGGAGCCAUCCUUGGGAUACCACCCUUGUAGUACUGGGACUCUAACCAUAGGCCAUGAAUCUG